rnacentral:rRNA from 1 species
UGCAGUCGAGGGGCAGCAUAGGGUACCUGUACUUUGAUGGCGACCGGCGCACGGGUGAGUAAUGCGUAUGCAACCUACCUAUAACAGGGGAAUAACCCGUAGAAAUUCGGACUAAUACCGCAUAAAACAGGGGCUCCGCAUGGAGAUAUUUGUUAAACAUUUGUCGGUUAUAGAUGGGCAUGCGUUCCAUUAGCCAGUUGGUGAGGUAACGGCUCACCAAAACAACCAUGGAUAGGGGAACUGAGAGGUUUGUCCCCCACACUGGAACUGACACACCGACCUCCUCCUACAGGAGGCAUGGUGAGGAAUAUUGGUCAAUGGGCGACAGCCUGAACCAUGCAAAUCGCGUGAAGGAAGACUGCCUUAUGGGUUGUAAACUUCUUUUAUACAGGAAUAUUGUAGUUACGUGUAACUUAUUGCAUGUACUGUAUGAAUAAACAUCGGCUAACUCCGUGCCAGCAGCCGCGGUAAUACGGAAGAUGCCAGCGUUAUCCCGAUUUAUUGGGUUUAAAGGGUGCGCAGGCGGGAACUUAAGUCCGCAGUGAAAUCUCGACGCUUAACGUCGAAACUGCCGUUGAAACUGGGUUUCUUGAAUAUAUAUGAAGUAGGCUGAAUUCCUUGUGUAACGGUGACAUGCUUAGAUAUAACGAAGAACUCCGAUUGCGUAGCAGCUUACUAAGCUAUAACUGACGCUCAAGCACGAAAGCGUGGGGAUCAAACAGGAUUAGAUACCCUGGUAGUCCACGCCGUAAACGAUGAUUACUAGUUGUAUGCGAUAUUCCGUAUGUGACUAAGCGAAAGCGAUAAGUAAUCCACCUGGGGAGUACGCCGGCAACGGUGAAACUCAAAGGAAUUGACGGGGGCCCGCACAAGCGGAGGAACAUGUGGUUUAAUUGGGUGAUACGCGAGGAACUUUACCCGGGCUUGAAAUGCAGAAGAAUAACGUUGAAAGAUUUUAGCCAUCAAUGGCUUCUGUGUAGGUGCUGCAUGGUGGUCGUCAGCUCGAGCCGUGAGGUGUCGGCUUAAGUGCCAUAACGAGCGCAACCCACAUUGUUAGUUACUAACAGGUCAAGCAGAGGAGUCUAACAAGACUGCAGUGGUAAGAUGCGAGGAAGGUGUGGAGGACUUCAAAUCAGCACGGCCCUUACGUCCGGGGCGACACAAGUGUUACAAUGGGGGGUACAAAGGGCAGGUAAUCGGUGACAAGAUGCUAAUCUCCAAAGCCACUCCCAGUUCGGAUCGGAGUCUGCAACUCGACUCCGUGAAGCUGGAUUCGCUAGUAAUCGCGCAUCAGCCAUGGCGCGGUGAAUACGCUCCCGGGCCUUGUCCACACCCCCCGUCAAGCCAUGGAAGCUGGGGGUAUGGAACUGCGUAACCGCAAGGAGCGUC